CAUGGCGCGCGCACGCGGGAGACGGAAGCGCGGCGGCUCUUCGGCCGUUGUCAAGCGAUGAGGCGCGUCUCCCCAUUGCACAGAGGGGGCAACUGAGGCGAACGCAGGCCUCAAGGUCGCGCCGCCAGUCAAGGUCGACUGGGGUCCCGCGCCCGGACCCUACGCCUCCGCGAGCGGAAAUGGGGAUGGCGCGUCCCCGAGACCUAGGAGCAGCCUUGCGUCCGCAUUCCGCGCGGGCAAACACCACGUCGCGUCCUACCAGGCAAUGUCAGGAAGGAGGUUGCCUUUGAGCAUCGCUGUUUUCUCUAACGAGGUGGGACAGGAGCAGUCUCCGGUUUUGAGAGAUUAUGAAAUGCUUUCAAAAUGCUCUACUUUCCGAAAAUAUCUUACACUCUGCUUGAAUCUUCUUCAGGAGGAAGCCAUUAAAACAGGAGCCUGGCCAGGCUCUUACCUGUGAAGAUGCAUUAUGCACAUUUUGCCCUCUUACUCUUUUUGAAUCUCUGCUCCUGGUCUUUCCCUGCCCCCGCCCCGCCCAGCUCCUACCGCCCCCGCCUCGGGGCUGAAUUGUGCUUUGAUUUUUGGGUGAAAGAUAAGUCACAAUUUAAAAGCGAAUUUCUUCAGGCAAAGACAUUAAUAAUACUUUAAUUAAAAUGCACUUGUAGGCCAGGCGCGGUGGCUCAUACCUGGCGCUUUAGGAGGCGCGGAGGCCAAGGCCGGGGAGGAUCGCUUCAUCUUAGGAGUUCGACACCGGCCACCAGCCUGGGCAUCUUAGAGAGACGCCGUCUCUACAAAAAAAUAAAUAAAAAUAAAAAUUAGCUGGGCGUCGAGGCGCUCGCUACUCAGGAGGCUGGGCGGGGAGGAUUGCUUGAGCCCGGAGGUCGAGGCUGUAGUGGGCGGUGAUCGCAUCACUGCAUUCCAGCCGGGACGACAGAGUGUGACCCUCUCUCAAAAAAUAGGCCGGGUGCGGUGGAUCACGCCUGUAAUUCCAGCACUUUGGGAGGCCGAGGCGGGAGGAUCACCUGAGGUCAGGAGUUCAAGACCAGCCUGGACAACAUGGUGAAACCCCAUCUCUACGAAAAAUACAAAAUUAGCUGGGCAUGGUGGUGCGCACCUGUAGUCCCAGCUACCCCCUCGGGAGGCUGAGGCAGGAGAAUCGCUGGAACCCAGGAGGUGGAGGUUGCAG
rnacentral:lncRNA from 1 species